rnacentral:rRNA from 1 species
UUGGAGGGCAAGUCUGGUGCCAGCAGCCGCGGUAAUUCCAGCUCCAAUAGCGUAUAUUAAAGUUGUUGCAGUUAAAAAGCUCGUAGUUGAAUUUCGGGGUUAGUAGGCUGGUCGUGCCACCGGUAUGUACUGGUCUUACUGAUUCCUCCUUCCUGAUGAACUGUAAUGCCAUUAAUUUGGUGUUGCAGGGAAUCUGGACUGUUACUUUGAAAAAAUUAGAGUGUUUAAAGCAGGCUAACGCUUGAAUACAUUAGCAUGGAAUAAUGAAAUAGGACGUUCGAUCCUAUUUUGUUGGUUUCUAGGAUUGACGUAAUGAUUAAUAGGGAUAGUUGGGGGCAUUAGUAUUCAAUUGUCAGAGGUGAAAUUCUUGGAUUUAUUGAAGACUAACUACUGCGAAAGCAUUUGCCAAGGAUGUUUUCAUUAAUCAAGAACGAAAGUUAGGGGAUCGAAGACGAUCAGAUACCGUCGUAGUCUUAACCAUAAACUAUGCCGACUAGGGAUCGGAUGAUGUUAAUUUUUUAAUGACUCAUUCGGCGCCUUACGGGAAAC